rnacentral:rRNA from 1 species
GACGAACGCUGGCGGUGUGCUUAACACAUGCAAGUCGAACGGUAAGGCCCUUUCGGGGGUACACGAGUGGCGAACGGGUGAGUAACACGUGAGUAACCUGCCCUCAUCUCUGGGAUAACAGUCGGAAACGGUUGCUAAUACUGGAUAUGAGCUUGCAAGGCAUCUUGUGGGUUGGAAAGAUUUUUUUGGUUGGGGAUGGACUCGCGGCCUAUCAGCUUGUUGGUGAGGUAGUGGCUCACCAAGGCUUCGACGGGUAGCCGGCCUGAGAGGGCGACCGGCCACAUUGGGGCUGAGAUACGGCCCAAACUCCUACGGGAGGCAGCAGUGGGGAAUAUUGCACAAUGGACGGAAGUCUGAUGCAGCAACGCCGCGUGCGGGAUGACGGCCUUCGGGUUGUAAACCGCUUUCAAUUGUGACGAAGCUUUUUGUGACGGUAGCAGUAGAAGAAGCACCGGCUAACUACGU